rnacentral:rRNA from 1 species
AAAUUGAAGAGUUUGAUCAUGGCUCAGAUUGAACGCUGGCGGCAGGCCUAACACAUGCAAGUCGAACGGUAACAGGAAGCAGCUUGCUGCUUCGCUGACGAGUGGCGGACGGGUGAGUAAUGUCUGGGAAACUGCCUGAUGGAGGGGGAUAACUACUGGAAACGGUAGCUAAUACCGCAUAACGUCGCAAGACCAAAGAGGGGGACCUUCGGGCCUCUUGCCAUCAGAUGUGCCCAGAUGGGAUUAGCUUGUUGGUGGGGUAACGGCUCACCAAGGCGACGAUCCCUAGCUGGUCUGAGAGGAUGACCAGCCACACUGGAACUGAGACACGGUCCAGACUCCUACGGGAGGCAGCAGUGGGGAAUAUUGCACAAUGGGCGCAAGCCUGAUGCAGCCAUGCCGCGUGUAUGAAGAAGGCCUUCGGGUUGUAAAGUACUUUCAGCGGGGAGGAAGGGAGUAAAGUUAAUACCUUUGCUCAUUGACGUUACCCG